rnacentral:rRNA from 1 species
UGGGGGAUAUUGCACAAUGGGCGAAAGCCUGAUGCAGCGACGCCGCGUGGGGGAUGAAGGCCUUCGGGUUGUAAACUUCUUUUGCUCUGAACAAGGCAUGCCUUUGGGGUGUGUUGAGUGUCGGGGUUGAUUAGCGCCGGCUAACUACGUGCCAGCAGCCGCGGUAAUACGUAGGGCGCGAGCGUUGUCCGGAAUUAUUGGGCGUAAAGGGCUUGUAGGUGGCUGGUUGCGUCUGUCGUGAAAGCUCAUGGCUUAACUGUGGGUUUGCGGUGGGUACGGGCUGGCUUGAGUGCAGUAGGGGAGGCUGGAAUUCCUGGUGUAGCGGUGGAAUGCGCAGAUAUCAGGAGGAAUACCGGUGGCGAAGGCGGGUCUCUGGGCUGUUACUGACGCUGAGGAGCGAAAGCGUGGGGAGCGAACAGG